UCUUACGAAAGCGCUGAAGGGUCACACACAAAAAAUUUUUUAGACUAAAUUGCCAGUUAGUAAGUCAGAAUUGCGAGAUACUAAGUCGGAAUUGCGAGAUACUAAGUCGGAAUUGCCAGUUAGCUAGUCAGAAUUGCGAGAUACUAAGUCGGAAUUGCGAGAUACUAAGUCGGAAUUGCCAGUUAGUAAGUCAGAAUUGCGAGAUACUAAGUCGGAAUUGCGAGAUACUAAGUCGGAAUUGCCAGUUAGUAAGUCAGAAUUGCGAGAUACUAAGUCGGAAUUGCCAGUUAGUAAGUCAGAAUUGCGAGAUACUAAGUCGGAAUUGCGAGAUACUAAGUCGGAAUUGCCAGUUAGUAGGUGGCAAUGUACAGAUAGUAAUUAUCAAUCAAUAAUAAGAAUAGAUAACAGUCCAUUUACAGUUUCGUUGUGGGAUGGUUUACAGUGCGAUUAAACAUACUAAGUUGUUUAACUUGUAGAAAGUGCAAGUUGUUAUCUAGUUUCCAUAGCUUUAGAGUAUGGAAGUUGAUUCUUUACUUAAAUUUUAUUUUCGUUUGGGUUUACGGCAUGCUGAAAUCUUAUCUUUCCUGGUUCUUCGACACGGAGUGUUUAUAAGUGAAAGCACUUUAAAAAGAGCUUUGAGAAGACUACAACUAUUUCGAAGAAAAAGGUAUUCACGUCUGCAAAAUGUUAUGGUAUUCUUACAAGAAGAAAUUCAAAAAUCUGGACAAUUGCAUGGAUAUAGAUGGAUGCACUUGAGAUGCCUUCAAAAAGGUUUUAUAGUACGUCAAGAAACAGUACGCUUCAUACUUCAGAUAAUUGAUCCUGUUGGAGUUGAGUAUAGAAGAAGAAAAAGGUUACGGCGAAGACAAUAUUUCAAUAAAGGACCCAAUUUUCUUUGGCAUGUAGAUUCCUAUGAUAAGCUUAAACCAUAUGGUAUUGCAAUAAAUGGUUGCAUAGAUGGAUUUUCUAGAUCCAUAAUGUGGCUUGAGGCUGGAAGUACAAGCAAUGAUCCUCGAGUUAUUGCUGGCUACUUUUUAAAAACAGUGUAUCGUUGUGGAGGAUGCCCACGUACUGUUCGUACUGAUAUGGGUACAGAAAAUUAUUAUCUAGAACAAAUUCAACUUUUCUUUAAGCGUCUUGAAGAUGAUGAACAUGCUCCACCAGCUUUCAUAUAUGGAGCUAGUACAGCAAAUCAAAAAAUUGAAUGUUGGUGGUCUAUCCUACGCAGACAUAAUGCUCAAUUUUGGAUGAAUUUAUUUAGUAAACUAAAGGAAGACGGAUAUUUUGCAGGAACAUUUCUUGACAAGUCUCUAAUUCAGUUUUGUUUCAUGGAUAUAAUUCGAGAUGAACUGGACGAAAUAUGCUUAGAAUGGAACUCACAUUCAAUCUCAAGUUCUAGGAACAGUAUAAAUCCAACAGGUAGACCCUUUGUGAUGUAUAAUAUGCCAGAACUGUAUGAAUCUUCUGAUUACCUAUUACAAGUGCCAGAUGAUGAAAUAGAAGUUGUGAAAAAUGAGUGUACAUUUUUGGACAAAAGAAUGCCUUGUGAUAAAGACAUUUUUGAACUGUGUAAUGUACUAAUAGAAGAAGGGCACUUAGAAAAACCUUCUGAUCCAUACAAUGCAGUUAAUCUGUACGUAUAUCUCCGAACUCAAAUAUUAAACUUAUUAUAAUGUAAAUUAUUAAUAAAGUAUGUUAAAGUAAACACGA